UAGUCAAGCGAAGGGGUGACGCAGGAAGGUAGCCGUACCAGUCAGUGGUAACACUGGGGCAAGCCGGUAGGGAGAGCGAUAGGCAAAUCCGUCGCUCACUAAUCCUGAGAGGUGACGCAUAGCCGGUUGAGGCGAAUUCGGUGAUCCUCUGCUGCCAAGAAAAGCCUCUAGCGAGCACACACACGGCCCGUACCCCAAACCGACACAGGUGGUCAGGUAGAGCAUACCAAGGCGUACGAGAUAACUAUGGUUAAGGAACUCGGCAAAAUGCCCCCGUAACUUCGGGAGAAGGGGGACCGGAAUAUCGUGAACACCCUUGCGGUGGGAGCGGGAUCCGGUCGCAGAAACCAGUGAGGAGCGACUGUUUACUAAAAACACAGGUCCGUGCGAAGUCGCAAGACGAUGUAUACGGACUGACGCCUGCCCGGUGCUGGAAGGUUAAGAGGACCCGUUAACCCGCAAGGGUGAAGCGGAGAAUUUAAGCCCCAGUAAACGGCGGUGGUAACUAUAACCAUCCUAAGGUAGCGAAAUUCCUUGUCGGGUAAGUUCCGACCUGCACGAAUGGCGUAACGACUUCUCAACUGUCUCAACCAUAGACUCGGCGAAAUUGCACUACGAGUAAAGAUGCUCGUUACGCGCGGCAGGACGAAAAGACCCCGGGACCUUCACUACAACUUGGUAUUGAUGUUCGGUACGGUUUGUGUAGGAUAGGUGGGAGACUGUGAAACCUCGACGCCAGUUGGGGCGGAGUCGUUGUUGAAAUACCACUCUGAUCGUAUUGGGCAUCUAACCUCGAACCCUGAAUCGGGUUUAGGGACAGUGCCUGGCGGGUAGUUUAACUGGGGCGGUUGCCUCCUAAAAUGUAACGGAGGCGCCCAAAGGUUCCCUCAACCUGGACGGCAAUCAGGUGGCGAGUGUAAAUGCACAAGGGAGCUUGACUGCGAGACUUACAAGUCAAGCAGGGACGAAAGUCGGGAUUAGUGAUCCGGCACCCCCGAGUGGAAGGGGUGUCGCUCAACGGAUAAAAGGUACCCCGGGGAUAACAGGCUGAUCUUCCCCAAGAGUCCAUAUCGACGGGAUGGUUUGGCACCUCGAUGUCGGCUCGUCGCAUCCUGGGGCUGGAGCAGGUCCCAAGGGUUGGGCUGUUCGCCCAUUAAAGCGGCACGCGAGCUGGGUUUAGAACGUCGUGAGACAGUUCGGUCUCUAUCCGCCGCGCGCGUCAGAAACUUGAGGAAACCUGUCCCUAGUACGAGAGGACCGGGACGGACGAACCUCUGGUGCACCAGUUGUCCCGCCAGGGGCACCGCUGGAUAGCCACGUUCGGUCAGGAUAACCGCUGAAAGCAUCUAAGCGGGAAACCUUCUCCAAGAUCAGGUUUCUCACCCACUUGGUGGGAUAAGGCCCCCCGCAGAACACGGGUUCAAUAGGUCAGACCUGGAAGCUCAGUAAUGGGUGUAGGGAACUGGUGCUAACCGGCCGAAAACUUACAACA
rnacentral:rRNA from 1 species